rnacentral:rRNA from 1 species
AACGAACGCUGGCGGCAUGCCUAACACAUGCAAGUCGAACGAGACCUUCGGGUCUAGUGGCGCACGGGUGCGUAACGCGUCGGAACCUGCCCUUAGGUUCGGAAUAACUCCCCGAAAGGGGUGCUAAUACCGGAUAAUGUCUUCGGACCAAAGAUUUAUCGCCUUUGGAUGGGCCCGCGUUGGAUUAGCUCGUUGGUAGGGUAAAAGCCUACCACGGCGACGAUCAAUAGCUGGUCUGAGAGGAUGAUCAGCCACACUGGGACUGAGACACGGCCCAGACUCCUACGGGAGGCAGCAGUGGGGAAUAGUGGACAAUGGGCGAAAGCCUGAUCCAGCAAUGCCGCGUGAGUGAUGAAGGCCUGAGGGUUGUAAAGCUCUUUUACCCGGGAUGAUAAUGACAGUACCGGGAGAAUAAGCUCCGGCUAACUCCGUG